rnacentral:sRNA from 1 species
UUUUUGUUCAAUAUAAUUUUAUUAUUUUAUUUUAUUUAUUUAUUUUAAUAUGUAUAAUUAUUUUAUUAAAAAAUAAAUCUUUUGAAAGAAACAUAAAAAUUUUAAUUUUCCAUUUAAUAUGUUUUCAUAGUGUAUUAUUUAUUUUUAUUUAUCAAAAUAAAAUAUAUAUUAUAAAGUGAAUGUUAUAUGUAUUUAUAUUUAUAACUAUAUAUAAUAACAUAUAAUUUGUUAUGUUCAUUUUAUUUUGUUAAAGUUAAAUAAUAGAAGUUUUUAUUUUUAUAUGAAUUUUUAUAUUUUUUGGCAAAUUAUUGAAGUUUGCACAAUUUACGACUAGCUAAAAAUAAAAUAAAAAAUAACUAGCCAUUUUGGAUUAUAUUAGCUAUAUAUCAUGAAUAUAAAGUAUUAGGAGGCUACAGCUUUUAUUUAUUUUUUUUUUUUUAUAUCCACUUUAAUGUAAACAUUUUGGGAAGCAAAUUUACCAAAAAACAUUAAGUUAUGUGAUUUAUAAAAUUUAGUACAUAUUUUUGAUAACAAAUAUUCUUCCAGAAGGGAUUUGUAUUAUCUAGGUAUAAUAUACAAGGUUAUAAGAAUUACAAAAAAAAGAAUUAAUUGCUUUAUAUUUGUUGUUGUAUUUUUGAGUUUUAUCUAUAAGUAUUUUUAAUUGAACGCAUGAUUUGGAUGUGUAGAAUUAAUUUAGUUAUAUUAUUAUAAUGUAUGAACUUUUCUUCAUUAAUAUGUCAAGGAUAGAAUGAUGAUACAAAGAUAUAUAACCAUGUGAAUUCAUUUAUUUUUUUAUAAUAUUUAUAAGAAUUUAUCAAGAAAUAUAUGUAUUCUUUAUUAAAAUUAUACUUUAGUUUUUCUAGUUUAUUAUGGAUAGACGAAACAAAAUCUAUCACAUUAUUUUUCAAAACAAAUAAAAACUAUUAAAUGUAUUCUAUAUCUUCUUUUUUCCUUCUUUUUCCUUCAUUUCUUUCCUACUUUUUUUUUUUUUUUUUCUCUUUUUUUUUCAAUAAAAAGGAAAUUAAAGUUUCUCAUAAAAUAAUUAAUUUUAGUAUUUUAUGUUAUAUGAAUAAUAUUUCGUAAAUAUAUAACUGGAAGAUUUUAUAGUCCAAUGAUUAUAUAAAAACUAAUAAAACUAUUUAAAUAUCACUAUUCACGAAGAAUACGGAUAAUGUUGGAAUAUAUUUUAUAAAUCUCCAUAAUUAUGUGAUGUAAUUUAAAAUGAGGAGAGUGUGUUUUUUUUUUUUUUUUUUUUUUAUAAUAAAAAAAGAAAAAAGAGAAGAAAUAAAAAUGUUAUAAUUUUGCAUAACGUUAAUAAAAUAUUAAGGUAUAAUAUUAUAUAUAUAUAUAUAAAUAUGUUUUUUUGAAGAAAAUAUAAUGUUAUAAAAUGGAUGUAUUUUAUGUUAAUAAUAUAAAAGGUUUACUCAAAUUAUUCAGAUAAAAGAAAUAUAUUAAACUUUUUAUAUUCAUAUAUAUUUUUUCUUUUUUUUAAUUGAUAUAUGAAGGUGUAAAUUUUAAAAUAUAACUAGCAUGAGUUUAAUAUGGUAAAUAACAUAUAUAUAUAUAUAUAAAUAUUUUUUAUUUUUUGUUUUUUUUCUCAUACUUCAUAUAUUUUUGUAUAUAUAUACAUAUACAUAUAUAAUUUAUUAUGUCCCU